CAAGCUCAUAGGGUUUAUUCCUCCGUCUAUCUUUAAUGCCUCGAGGUUGGAGACUUUAGAAAUAUCUGGCAAUUCACUUGAAGGGAACAUUCCAGAAGGGAUCGGCAAUCUUCACAACAUGAACUGGUUGUCCAUACAAGAUAAUCACCUUGAGGGUUCUAUACCAUUCUCCAUUUUCAAUAUUUCUAGAAUCGAAUUCAUUGCAUUUACAAACAAUUACUUAUCUGGAGAUCUUCCCAAUGGUUUAUGCAAUCGUCUUCCAAGACUUAAAGGUCUUUAUCUAUCCAAAAACAAGAUUCAUGGUCAUAUACCUACAAGCUUAUCAAAUUGUUCACAACUUCAACUGUUGUCUUUAUCAUAUAAUGAUUUUGAUGGACCAAUACAUAGUGAAAUUGGAAGAUUAACUAAUCUGCAGUUCUUGGUUCUCGGAUUUAACCAUUUAACUGGUAUGUUUGAUCUUAUGAAUGCUAGUACUAUUCUAUCAAAUUACUUCAGAAUUUUUUUUGAUUACAUAUUAACUGCAGGGAUAAUUCCAAAAGAAAUUGGAAAUCUUGUUAAUUUGGCGGAGUUAUGGGUGGAGAGCAACCAGCUUAACGGCUCUGUCCCAAUCUCCAUGUUCAAUAUCUCAUCGCUGCAAAUUUUGUCACUUUGGAGAAACAAUCUUAGUGGAUUCGUACCACGGGAGAUUGGCAACUUAACCAAGAUGCAACUUUUAUAUCUUAGCGAAAAUAGGCUUACUGGUACGUACGUAUUCAAAGUGAUUGCAAAGAAUACAACUUAUAUUAGAUUGAACUGACUAGUUAAUCCUUCUUUCGAUAAGUAUUUGCAGGUGAAAUACCCAAAGAGAUAAACAAUCUCACUGAGUUGGAGGAACUUACUCUUAGUUAUAAUAGAUUUAGUGGUACACUUGAUAUGGAAAUCUUCAACAUAUCAGGUUUGAGAAUAAUUUCACUUUCAACCAACAAUCUAUCUGGAAGCCUACCACCAAACAUAGGUUCUAUCUUACCAAACAUUGAAAAACUUUAUCUGCAUACCUUAACUAAUCUUGUUGGGACUAUUCCUAAUUACAUCUCCAACUGUUCAAAACUUACUGAUCUAGAGCUUUCAGACAACAAACUCAGUGGCUUGAUUCCCAAUUCUCUUGGAUAUUUGACUCAUCUACAGGUCCUACAAUUGAGCAGAAACAAUUUAACCAGUGACUCCUCGUUAAGCUUCUUCACUUCCUUAACCAAUUGCAGAAAUUUAACAUCUCUUGAUAUAUCUUCGAACCCCCUAAAGGGCAUGCUUCCAGCCUCCCUGGGGAACUUCUCCACAUCUCUUGUAGAUUUUUACACAGACGGUUGCAAAAUAGAAGGGCAAAUUCCAAAUGAAGUUGGGUACUUAAGCAGCUUAGUAGACCUUGAUCUUUCUGGAAAUAACUUGGCUGGAUUGAUUCCCACAUCAUUUGGCAACUUGACAAACCUUCAGCGUUUCUACUUGAGUAACAACAAAUUUACAGGAUUUAUUGGAGAUAAUCUUUGUAAAUUUCAGCGACUGGGUGCUAUUUACUUGGGUCAAAAUCAACUUUCAGGAUCUCUUCCGAAUUGUUUGAAUCAAAGUGUGAUUUCACAAACUAAAUGUCUUUGAAAGGUUCACUGCUUUUCUUUGGUUUUUGUAUUUCUUUCGUCACUUUUUUCAUAUACAGAGGAAGAAUGAACUUCAAAUAUAUUGGGGAAGGGAAACAGUUUAUGUUUGUAACUGUUCUCCCAAGUUUCAAAAAUGCAACAUUAUCUCUUUCUUUUCAACUUUUUUCCAGAUAAUCUAAAAACAAAAAUCGGGUCAAGUCAGGUCGGUCCAGCGACCCAUAACCCAUAAACCAACAAAAACGUUCAGCCAUUUUGAAGUAACCACUCCAGAAAUUGUACACUUACAUAUUGAGCAUCUUUACACUUGAUUAUAAAAAUAUUGGACCACUCCUUUCCAAGUCAAACACUAACUAUACUUCUUUCUUGGUCUACCACUUAAAAGUUUUUUUCCAAGACACACGCUAACUAUAUGUCAUCUAACAUUUAAUGACAUCGGCGGAUUUCGGAUUAGAAUUUUAUGGGUUUAAUCUUUGAAGGUUUUAGUAUUGAACCUAUUGUAAUUGUAAAACUAUGAGUUUAAACUUAUUCUUUGGUGCAAUUUAAUAAAGUUUUAUAGAUAAAUUUAUCUUUGCAUCAAAAAUACUGGAUUCAAAUGAACACGAUAUUUCUGUGAUGCAUCCUCCACUAAUAAUGGAAAUCAUUGUUUUGCUUGUCAUGGCCGAGAAUUUUAAUGGAGCUGUGCACAAAUAACUUUUGCUAAAGUUGUGGCUAUUAACUAACUCACCUCAUCACAUGCUCUACAUAACUGAAAAAUUCAAUGGACAUCCCUUUCCUAUUUAAAGUUUCAAAACAACAAUGUUAUUGGCCAUAACAAGUUCCUUCUAAUUUAUGCAAGCAUGGACAAAGCAUUCGCCUUUUUACUCUUAACAUUCGUGCUACUUCACUAUGUUAUGGCUAGUUCGGCCGCGACAAAAACCAACAUUUCCACCGAUCAAUUGACUCUUUUUUCUUUGAAAUCCCAAAUCAUUUCAGACCCCUUUCACUUAUUGGAUGAAAGUUGGUCCCCAGCUACUUUUGUUUGUCAUUGGGUCGGAAUCACUUGUAGCUCUCGUCAUCAGAGAGUGAAAUCUUUAAAUCUUUCAAACAUGGCUCUUACAGGCAUAAUUCCUCGGGAAUUUGGAAACCUGACAUUUCUUGUUUCUCUUGACUUGGGAAACAACAAUUUCAAGGGAAAUUUACCUCAAGAAAUGGCACGCUUGCAUCGGCUUAAGUUUCUUGAUUUAAGUUUCAACAGCUUCAGAGGGGAUGUUCCUUAUUGGCUUGGGUUUUUACACCAACUUCAAUUUCUAAGUCUUGGAAAUAAUAGUUUCACUGGUUCCAUUCCUGCAUCAUUUUCUAAUAUUUCCACACUCGAGACUUUGAAUCUGAAUUUCAAUUUCAUAGAGGGCCAAAUACCAAAAGUGAUUGGAAGUCUUAUAAACCUUAGAGAACUAAACUUGAUGGGUAACAAGCUCAUAGGGUUUAUUCCUCCGUCUAUCUUUAAUGCCUCGAGGUUGGAGACUUUAGAAAUAUCUGGCAAUUCACUUGAAGGGAACAUUCCAGAAGGGAUCGGCAAUCUUCACAACAUGAACUGGUUGUCCAUACAAGAUAAUCACCUUGAGGGUUCUAUACCAUUCUCCAUUUUCAAUAUUUCUAGAAUCGAAUUCAUUGCAUUUACAAACAAUUACUUAUCUGGAGAUCUUCCCAAUGGUUUAUGCAAUCGUCUUCCAAGACUUAAAGGUCUUUAUCUAUCCAAAAACAAG
rnacentral:lncRNA from 1 species